CAGCCCCAGCCUGCUGCGCUUGCUGAGUGACGUGCGGCACGGGAGGCCGGCACAAGGGCAGGGCAUCGGGAAAAUAAUGCAAGUUGGGCAAUUUCCCUCGCCGUCCAUAGUGCCAAACUACACCAUCAAACGCCGGCUGGCAAAUGCGCUUCCUUGAAAUGGAUCGGCCGUCCUGAAUGUGACUGCUCAGGGGCUGGCAAGCUGCUAUAGUUUUCUUGAGGUCUGAUGUUGGACAUGUUUACUAUGAGUGCAGCUAUGUGGAGAUGGGAGAAAUUUCGGGUGAAUGAUCAGCCUAUCACAUACUAUGUCAAUGACCUCAGGCUUAUUGGAAAAAUCCACAGUUUUAACUCCUGCCAGCUGCAGCAAUAAGUUGAUGGGCGCAUGAUCGAACCUGUUUAAAUCAAGAUGUCCAAAGUGAAGCUUACCUCCUGCGGAAAUAAGAAUAAAUCAUGGAUAUGUUCAGCAACGUUCCUUCUCAGCUAAAAUACAUUGCUGUAAUUCUUGAAUUCUUAGAAAAUAAAAUACUAUGCAACAAUGAAAUUAGAA